rnacentral:tRNA from 27 species
GCGCGAGUGGCGUAAUUGGUAGCCGCGCAGGAUUUAGGUUCCUGUGACUUCGGUCGUGUGGGUUCGAGUCCCAUCUCGCGCACCC